CCACGGCGUGCUCGUUUGACGCAGAACACUUGCGUUAGCGCUCUGCUUCGGUGACGUUGGACAAUGGGUUCAGCAUCAGGAAGCAUGCAAUUAUAAGAAAGGGGAAAGAGCAGAAGCUAAGAAUUUGCUCUUUUGUUCCGCCCCCCCCCCCCCUCCUCCUGCUUCGGAACGGAAAAUUAUUGUUUCGCUUGCUCAGCAGAACGUACUAAAGGCAGCCUUAUACGACCUGCGUGACGUCUCAGCAAACUGAUAUUUAACGCUUCGGCCUAUGAAGCUCACAGGAAAAAAGAAAUGGAUGCGACAUUUAUAACCGCAACGCUACUGGUCAUAUAUGUCGCUUUCUGGGAGCACAGCAGCGCGGCCAGGUCAAGAAACCCUGCCUGCCAGGAGACUCCUAAAGUGGAAAAUUGCAGCAUUGUGCUCCGAAAAUGGAGCUUCAAUAUUGAGACUAACGAAUGCGAAAUAAAUUUUGUUUGCCGAGAAAACAAAAAUUUGUUUCACUCACAAGAGGAAUGCACCAGAGCUUGCCCACCAAUUUCAGGAGUGGCACCUCGUCCGAAAGAAAAGGAUUGCUACUAUUGGCUCUAUAAAGGAAACGGAUGUUACUCAUACUGGUUUACUUAUUAUUAUGACCGCUGGGGAAGAAGUUAUCCAGUAAUGAUAUAUACUGGAUGUGGAAGGUGGCGACAUAGGCGCUAUGUUUAUUAUCUGCAUGCAAGAAAAUGCGCAGAAAUAAGAUGAAAGCCAUGUGGAUCCUGGGAAUAAAGCAGGACAAUGCUUGUCGUUUGACCCAUAUCA
rnacentral:lncRNA from 1 species